AGGAAGGGGGGCGCUGGGGGUGGCUGGAUGGAAAGCCUGGAUCGUUUCUUGGUAACUCUCCAAAGUCGCCUCCAUUUAGCAGCAAGUUUCCAGUUCUUAAGAUGAAAAAUUGGAUUUAAGUUUUGAACAUGAUCUGAGUGAAGGGGAAGAAACUACUCUGAUAAUUAAUUCAUCCACUGAGGUGUAAAAAGGAUUUGAACGGAAAAAGGAUAAACAUGUUGACUUGGUAUGUUGGAACUGAAAGUCUGUGUGUGUGGGGGGGUGAGCCUCCUUUGUUAUAAUAUUUUGUUUUGCUAUGCUAUAUGGCAAAAUCCUCCUCUGAAAGAAUCAACUGCCUGAUUAUUUAUAGCAAGCGAGACUGGGGAGGUGGUGUAUUUGGUGAUAUAAUAUGAGUCUAAUAGUCAUUAGGGGACCUGGGUGGCACUGUGGGUUAAAACACAGAGCCUAGGACUUGCCGAUCAGAAGGUCGGCGGUUCGAAUCCCCACGACGGGGUGAGCUCCCGUUCCUCGGUCCCAGUUCCUGCCAACCUAGCAGUUUGAAAGCACGUCAAAAGUGCAAGUAGAUAAAUAGGUACCGCUCCGGUGGGAAGGUAAACCUUGUUUCUGUGCUCUGCUCUGGUUCGCCAGAAGUGGCUUAGUCACUCCCUCAGACAAUAAAGCGAGAUGAGCACCGCAACCCCAGAGUCGGGGGUCCCUUUGCCUUUACCUUAAUAGUCAUUAAUUUUGUGGAAAUAACAAUUAUUCAAAACAACUAAAAUGAAAUACAACAAUGCAGCAGAAUAGCACAAUGCUGACACCACUAUAUAAGGCUCUGAAGUGACAGAUGACAAAUGCCAGAACAAAGCAAGAAAACACUUUUUCAAUUAGCCUCUGAAAAUGAACAAUGUUGAUUAACACCAUACUUUGGGAAAGGACUGUCUUGAUUUUUAAGGGGAGGAACAUUUUUAGUUAAUGUGUUCUCAGCUAUUUUUGCCUAUGAAACCAAUGUCAAUGUCAUAUGUUCAGUAGCUCACAGGAAGCCAGUGCAGUUCUUUCUGGAUUGUUGUAUAUGAACCAGUCUAGGUGCCUCCUUUACAAACCUCGCAGCUUUAGAGAAAUCUUCUAUUACAUCUAUUAAACACAAAUUGCCCUUCUUACACACAUUGUUGGUUAUGCAUAUUAUGGCCCUUUUACUUUGUCUAUUUCCCCACUCCAUAUUUAUGAAUCAGUAGAUUCCUAAUGCAAGGAAAGCGUGAAAUCUCUGUUUUUCAAAAUCCAUAUUCUACCUGUGGAAUCUUGAAAGGACCUAAGACGUUUGCCAUGCACCAGGAGGUAUCAGAGCUGAGUCCCCCAAUGACUCCUAUGACAUUUUUCUGGAUGCCACACCUGUAGUUGGGAACAAAGUGAUGUGAUUUAAAGAGCAGGUCCAGAGUGUUUUGGUAGGUCAUCUUUGAAUCAUAAUAGCUAUCAUAGAUGUGGAAGCCGAGAGAGACAUUGGGCAACAUCCUGGGAUUCUUGUUGAUCUCAUCAACAGCAAACACCAAGGCCAGGAUUUGCUGGUAGAACUUUGUCAACACCCUGCAAAUGAAGUGAGAUUUUGUUUAAUGGGAAAAUUAAACAGUGCACAGAAUCUAGAUAGGAGAGAUUCACCUGCCUGCCUAUAAAGAGAGGAUGAAGGCAGCAAAGUUUAUUUACUUAUUUGGGCAAUCUAAGAAUACUGUGUAAUUUUAAAAGCUGUUGCAUAUUUCUUCAUCUCUUCAGCAACCCAUGUUUGUUUUGCCACUUUGAAAAUUUAGGUAUCAUCAAAAACUUCAGUAGCAUACUACUUUGCGAUAUACUUUUCCUAUUUUUUUAUGCCAUCUCUUUUCUCUUUCUCCUACUCUCUUUUCUCUCUCUCUUUACACAAUUAGACUCAAAAAAGCUUAUUGUUCAUCGACAAUAUUCACAUAGCCUAUAUGUACAGAUUCCUAAUAAAAUCUCUCCACACAUUUAAAAAAUAAAGUUCUAUAGCAAUCAAUCAAAGUAAUUUUCUGUCAGAUAUAGCAUAAUUAAAGAAUAAUUAAAAUAAUAUUAAUUAACAGUUACUUACAUUGGGGCAUCCAUGAAGUCCUGGGAAGGGUGUUUCUUGAAGGAUAAUUUGGGGUGUAUGUAACAGAUAUGAGAUGCCAUUGCACCAAUGACCAGGUCACCUGGCUCAUACCACUCGUGUGGAACAUGAACAGGAUUAUUAGUUGUGCAUUUAGCACUUUGUCCUUGGGACACUAUAUUGGGGAGCAGCAGAAGCAGCAGGAGGAACAUCCUGAUGGCAAAUACCCUUGUGUGCAUGGACUCCCCUGCUUCUCUCGACAGUAUUAUUCCUCUCCUCCACCUGAUAUGAACAAGACAAAUUGGGUGGCAGCUGACUCUGUCAAUUUGGGUCUUUAAGGGACAUGAAUCCACCUUAUUGUUAGCUUGAACAUUCUCACAACAGAAUGCCUUGGAUACCAAAUAAGAUGCAGUGGUUUGAUAUGAAAGAGGGAAACUGAUAACUGAUAAGUAACAGAGCCCUGCUUAGUUGUCUAUGGAGCACAGAGGAGCUUAUAAUCAUUUCAGGCUUGCUUGUUGAUUCUUUUUUUACACUGUGGCAUUUGGCGGUUCAGUCAGGUGGAUUGAUUAUUGUAAUUUGAGUAAUGAUAGGGGAGAGAAUCACUUGUGCAGUGUUUUUGGAUUCUAUGGCGCAUCAGCAGUAGGGGAACUGCCAAAAUAUAACUAUUAUUAAUUUUUAAAUAUAUAUUUUUAUUGAUUUACCAAUAUUGUUCCGAUAGCGACCUCAAUAUAACAAUACCAAUUUUAUCUAAUUAAUGCAAUUAUGAAUGCCAAUUCUUCAAAUGUCAAUUAUAUGAUUUAAUUAAACGUUUCCCCUUGGUGCUAGAUUUGAUGGCUUCAUUCUUCUUCAUUAUUUCUGUGUUCCACUAUGUUAAUAAUUUCCAUUGCAUUCCAUGUACAUAUAGCAAUCUGUUAGAUAACAGCUACAGUCUUCUGAUUUCUAUUUGUGUUGGUAUAUUAGGUAAUUUAUAAAGUUUCAAUUGAGGAACUCUAAGUUUAAUCCUUAUUUCUUCCUGCGUGUGACAAUUUCCCCCCAUGAUGUUUUCCCGUCCAUAUAUGGUGCUGGAUCCUUCAUUCCUGCAACUGAUGAUAUUUCCCAUCAUGCCCUGGGAGAAGCAGUUAUCCCACAGUUUCCAAAAGUCACUGCAUCGCUUUGGCCUGUGAUUCGGCUUCCAGUAAAAAAGCUGUGUUCACCGUUUUUUUUCCAGCCUAGGAGGAACGCUCUGAAUCCAGACCGCAGAUAGUGAAUCCAAAAGCAUCUAUUACUGCAGCUGGUAGACAGGAAGCUGGAUCUGCCAAUGUAAUUAUAUAUCACAAAAUCAUAGGCAAGGAAUGAACCUACAAGGUCAGCAGGAUUGAGUUGAAAUGGCCCCAUCCUUUCCCUACUUCCAAAUUUGUUAGUACUGGGGCAUCCUUCACUCUCCCACCUAUGUAACACUGAUCAGACAUGGUUUGCCAUCACAUUAACUGAAUGGUGGCAGCAGUUCUGGAUAGCAUCCUUGCCUUAUCAAGAAGUGGGGGCACUGGAUUAUAGCAUCAAUGGGAUAUCAGAUGCACACAAGGCAUGAUGGAGAACAGCAAGAACUUGGAAAAGAUGGAUGCGCCAAGCUUGGCGCCUCAGUUACUGCUCACGUCCAUGUGCCUGCUCUCACUUUAAUAUAUUGCUCCCACUACACCGAACAACUUUUUACCCGAAGGCUUAAAAAAAACCCCCUAACAAUCCCAGCAUAUCCUGUGGGGGAUCUUUGUGAGGGGGAUAACCAAAAAGUUGGAGUCUCAAGCAGGUGUUCUUUAAAUAAACAAUAACGAUUUAUUUUUUAAAGCAAGGUAGUAUAAUAUAAGUCGAGAAACUUAGGUUACUUCAGCAAUAAUAAUAUGCUAGUUCACUUCAAUUCAGUUUCUGAGGUUUGGGCUUUAUAGUUCGGUUCCUUUCUAAGGCGGUACUUUCCUUCAUUUACCCACCCCUUUAACAAAUGCAGCUCCUGAGGUACUUUCAGUAAGAGUCUUAAGGGCUCACCCCCUUCCUUCACUGGGAUUUGGAAGUCUCUUCUUUCCUCAGAAGAGUCUCUCCCCUCCAGAUUAGUUGGAGACCUAAGUAGACUCAUCUCUUUCAGCUCCUCCUUCUCCUGUCUCACCCUCAGUCUCCCAGCAAAAUUUGGUUCUAUUUCUCCUGCAGGACAAUACACUCAGUCCUUCACUGUACACUCGGAGUGGAUGUUUUAUUCCAGAACCAACUCUCCCUCCUCCACACUCCUAUCCUAUUUCCCUACCUAACUCCCAACCUCCCUCCUCAACCACCUCAACUCAACCCCACUCUUAACCACAGUCUAACCCCAUCUCCCUUGAAAUCGGCUCCUUUUAAACUCUCCCUCCUGGAACCACAGCCAGUCAGAGGCAGCUGUUAUUUAUCCAUUUGCUGGCAGGAGAAAAAAGUAAAAAGAAAUACUUGUGGAACUAACAUUUCUGUCACAAUAGACACAACAUUUUAGAAGGACUGGAAGAAACACUAUGGACAGCAUAUCUGCUACACAUUGGAAGAACAAGGAUGUAGUUUGAGUGCCUCAUUUGCAGUUCUAUGAAUCAAUGUGUCAAUACAAAGAGAAAAUAUUAAUAUUGCAGUUGUUGUAUAAGGGAUUAUUAUUUUGACUGGAAUAUAAUAGAAAUUAAUAAGAUUUUGGAAUGCAGAAAUAAAGGAAAUCAUCUAGCAUGUGGGGAGGGGCACCUAAAUUAUAUGAUUCAGUAUUUGAGUGCUUAGUAUUAGUAUUACAAUUUGAUAUUGUUUUACUGAUGCUAUUAUUGGAUGGUAAUUGAAAAUGAAUAAAAAUUAUUAUAACAGAAAUAGACUUUAGAAUCAACUUUAGAAACAACACAUCUGUAUUCUUAAAAAUGGGCUUACUUGAGAUAUUCUCUGCCGCCUCUCUUUCAAACUGGUUAGAAGUAUAUUUCAGAAAUAAAAGGUUUGUCCUAUUAGUGUUAGUAAUAUCCAAUGUGUUUUCCUCCAGGUAUUGUUGCAUAUCUCUGCUCCUUUUCUUUCUUAAAACUAUUUAAAAAAACAAGGGAACUGGCUGUUUUAAACUUCUCCUUCGUCUAUUCCUCAGCUGCCUUGUGUGUUAGAGAUAAAGAAUGUAGAGCCCUUAACUAUUUCACAAUGUUUUUUGUUUCUGGUACGCUUUUUUUGUCUUCAAGAUGAAUUUGUAGAUACCAUGAAGUAAUUGAUAAGAGACUUUUUAUUAACAAUCAUUUAUACAGUACAUGUAGAACGUUGAUCAACUGAACUUAACCAUUUCUAAACGAAAAGGCUGAGAGUUUUGCUAUUAAGAUUCCAUUUGCUUUAAAUAUACAGUAAGACAUGACAGGUUAGUAUAGUGGUAAGUAUCCCCGCCUGUCACGCGGGAGACCGGGGUUCAAUUCCCUGACGGGGAGAGGCAGCAAUGUUUAAGGGACGCAGGUGGCGCUGUGGGUUAAACCACAGAGUCUAGGGCUUGUUGAUCGGAAGGUCGGCGGUUCGAAUCCCCGCGACGGGGUGAGCUCCCAUUGCUCGGUCCCUGCUCCUGCCACCCUAGCAGUUCGAAAGCACGUCAAAGUGCAAGUAUAUAAAUAGGUAUCGCUCCGGCGGAAAGGUAAACGCCGUUUCCGUGCACUGCUCUGGUUUGCCAGAAGCGGUUAGUCAUGCUGGCAACAUGACCCGGAAGCUGUACGCCAGCUCCCUCGGCCAGUAAAGCAAGAUGAGCGCCGCAACCGCAGAGUCGGUCAUGACUGGACCUAAUGGUCAGGGGUCCCUUUACCUUUAAUACAUGACAGGGGUGUAUGGAGUGUUAGGGAGGGGUAGUAACUCUAGUGGGGACCAAGUCAUGCUCCUUCUGGGGUAGUUUGUCUACCUCUGAUCCCCACCCCUUCACUCAGUUCUCACCUGUGGCUCCUAGAAAUUGUCAGCUUGCAACAGCAGCCACAUCCCAUGAAUCAGAUACAACUGGCUGGCUCCCUAAACCAGGUGAGGGCAGCCAAUGGGCCUCAAAUCCUCAGUCUGUUAGGGAAUUUCUCUGCAUGCAAAGACAGGACAUAGCAGAUAAGAGCAAAAGUGGGCCCAAUGCUUAAAAAGGUGGCUACUGCAGGUGCUGUAGAGGGAAAUGAGGGGCAGAUGGGUCUCGUAAACCUAGGAAGGGAGCCCACCUAGGAGAUGGAAAUUUUGAACCUAAACCUCCACUGCUUUACAGCAUUACUCAUUUGUGAAAAAGGCUUUGGGACUAGAACCUGAGGAAAAAUCUGAACCCAUUGCCUUUGGGACAUCUUUGGCAGACAAAACAGUUAAGGAGCAAACUCUACAAAGAUCCAGAGCAAGAACUCGGAAAGUGAUACCCGCCACCAAGUCCAUAAGACUCAACAGAACCACAAAUUCCACUGUCAUUUAUACCUUUCUUUGUGUUAGCUGCUCUUUGUUGUUCAGGUCAGGCCUCACCACAAUAAUGUAGCAUUUAGGGGAAAAAAUGCAAGCCAGUAACCCAGCACCAGAACCAAAGAUGGAGAAGAUCUCCACAGCCACCAUGUAUUUUCCUCUGGUGCUCAGAUAGGUUGGAAUGAAGGAGAGCCAAACACUGCAGAAGACCAGCAUGCUGAAGGUGAUGAACUUGGCUUCAUUGAAGCUGUCAGGCAACUUCCUGGCUAAGAAGGCCACCGUGAAGCUGAAAGUGGCCAGGAAUCCCAUGUAGCCCAAAACACAAUAGAACAUGGAGACUGACCCUUCAUUACAUAGAAAUAUGAUUUCUUCAGGCAUUGAGUGCAUGUCCACAUCUGGGAAUGGGGGAGAGGUUGCCAGCCAGAGGACACAGAUCCCUACUUGAACAAUGGAGCAGGAAAAGACAAUGGAAUAAGCCAGUUCUUUGCCUACCCAUUUCCUCAUAUUGGAUCCUGGUUUGGUAGCCAUGAAUGCCAAAACCACCAAUAUGGUUUUGGCUAAGAUGCUGGAGAGGGCCACAGAGAAGACAAUGCCAAAAGCAGUUUGUCGGAGAAGGCAAGUCACCAUAUUAGGUUUUCCGAUAAACAGCAAAGAAGAGAGGAAACACAAGAGGAGGGAGAUAAGGAGACCAUAGGUGAGGCUUCGGUUGUUGGCUUUGACUAUGGCUGUAUUGCGAUGCUUAAUGAAGAUGCUGAGCACCAGAAAUGUGAUUAGAGCGAAUAAAAGUGCAGAGGAAGAUGAAACAAUGGCCAAGGUUUCAUCAAAGGCUAGGAAGUUUGGAGUCUUAGGAAUGCAUAGAUCCUGGCCGCUGUUUGGAUACUGAUCUGCUGGGCAACUGACACAUGUAUCCAUGUCUGAAAAUACACAAACAGUGCGUGACAAUUUGAAGCAACCAAAAGUAUUAUUAAGAAUUUCACAUCACUAGUCCAUUUAGCAUAGUGUUUUCUACGUCAGAAUGUAUACGAGCUUCAAGUCCAAAUGCUUUUGUACUAGGUGUAUCUAAAAUAAAAGUUGUGUAUCAAUUCUGGAAUUUUCUACAUGGGUAACAUCUUUUUUUUCUUUAUUGUCUCCCUGCUUUUUCUUAGAGCCACAUAAACAGUACAACAAAAUGAGAAAUGCAUUACAGCUGAAAUCUUUGGAUCUCAGAAAAGUGAGUUUGAUAAGAGUUUCACCCUAUUGUCAAACCACCUAAUUCUUAGAGGAGAAAACACCACUUCUAUUCCACCCUAAUUUUGUAGACGAUGGAGGAAAAAUAUAUUAGCUUCCACUUAAAAAAGAAAUCUUCAAGAUGCUUUAAAGAUUAAAAUAUAUUGAUGUUAUCUAUAAACUGUGAGAAGAACACAUCUGUUAAUUUAAGCCUUUUCUCCUGCAGCAGUUUAAUGUCAACAAAAUUGCCAGGAGCCCAGAGGUUCUGCAGUAUCUUAAGAUGUCAUCUCUAACCUUUCUCAUUUGAAAUCAUUCCUUCUGGACAUGGAUCACAAUCAUAGCAGCAAAACUUCUCCCCCUCCUUCUUUUUCUUCCCGUAACCAGGAUGGCAGUUGGCAUUACAUACAGAAAGCGGUGGCACCUAUCCAAAUAGAUAGGAAGAGUUUAAUAUUAUGAUAUUGUUUUGGGGAAUUUAUCAAAUAUCCACUAUCAGGUGAUGUAAUAGUAAAUAGGAGGACUAAUAGCGUGAAAUGAUCCGUAGGUACACAAGUGGCACAUACAGUGGGGUAAAAAGCUGCUGUUCUCUGUAUCAUACAAACUUAAGAAGAUAUCAGUAUUCCCAUACCUUAGUGAAGCGUCUGUUCCAUUUGAUUCUGUCUUCAUUAAUGGUGAGCUCUUUACCUGGAGGGGCCUGAGGAUCCAACCUGCCCACUUUGAUUCUGACAUAGGAAUUAUUUGGGAAAGUGACCAAGUUGGUAAUAUCAAAGCCAGCUGCUAACUCUCCAUAUUCAUUUAAUGUAAUUUCAUCUCCAGCACUGUUGUUGAAUGAGAUUCUCUGCAGGAAUGAGUGGAGCUAAGUGGAAAGAGAAUCAAAGUUAAACAAUUCAGUUCACAACGAAGAACAUCCAUAUUUUAGUUGCACAUACAGGAGGAGUAGGAAAUCAUGAAUCAGUGCCAAUUCAACAUUCAACAGACUUGCAUCAGGAUGGAGAGACCAUAGUCCUGCUUGCCUGAGACCAGCCUUUGUCUGUAUCCAAGAAAGGGAUGGAAUUUGAGAAGUCAUGUAAGAGAAGAGAUGGGAGCUUAUGUCCUCAAAUGAUAGGAAUGCAACAUGAGAACAUCGGACUGGACCUUUCCAUAGUUUAUAGAGUGGAUUUGAGCAUGGUUGGAUGUUGGAUGCAGAGGAGUGGUAGGAAGCAACAGCUGGAGAACCCGAAAGGGAUGCCCCAAGGAAAGGAGGCUCAGAGGCAGGGGAUUGGUGGUGGGAUGACAAGGAGUGGUCAGUGGCAGAAGAGGGAGCAGACUAGGAGGAAGAGGUGUCAGAUGCAGAAAAGGCAACAGGGUUAAGGGAGCAGGAAGAGGCUGUGGCAGACUGAAAUCCAGACUCAAAGGCAGAAGAGGAGAAGGGAGAAACGCAGGGUCUAGAGACAGUGAUCAAACAGUUGCUAGCCUCUUCUGGGGACCUACCAGUGAGGCCAGAAACCCCUGGUGAUUGGCAGACAGGGAAAGAUGAGGAGCUGGGGACAGGGCCUUCCAAGAUGUGCCCAGGUAGUGGCAGCUCCCUGAUGGGCUGCUCUUCUGUUUUCUCUUGGAUAUGAGGAUCCCUGCAAUAGCCAGUGCCUGGUGUUGGGGUCCUGGUUGUUCUCCCUUAGAAUUAUGUGUCCAGGGCCAAUGGGCCACAGGCCCCCAACCUUACACCACUGGGUAACUGGACAGGUAAGAGAGACAGAGAGAAUUGGGGAGGGUCUUGAGAUGGUGAUCACACAAUUGCUAGCCUCUUCUGGGGAUCAGCCAGCAAGGCUUCAGGGCCCAGAAACCCCUGGUGGUUGACAGACAGGGAAAGAUGAGGAGUUGGGGAUGGGGCCUUCCAGGACGUGUUCAGGCUGUUGGCUAUUUGCAGUAUGGUAGCGCUGCAGAGAGCUUGCUGGGGAGACCAUGCAUUAAAAAGGGACUCAAAAAUAACUUAAACAAGGUUUUAAUUACAAAAACAAAAACUCCUUAUACACUAAAUACAUCAACAACAAACCAGACCCAACCCAUCCCCCAGGAUAAUGGGAGAGCUAGGUGCUGCUCCUUAUAUACUACACCCAAUCGCUGACACAGCUUAAUCAAUACAACUCAGCAGCACCUGCUAUGUUUCACAGCUGUAAAGCUGGGUCUCAUUAUUUUGCUCUGGCCCUUGCUCUGGCCCCUUAAAGACAUACACAUCGGGUGGAACAAUGAUGAACCUUUACAUUUAAAGAAACCAUUCAACACAGGCAGUGGCAGCUCCCUGAUGGUCUGCUCUUCUGUUUUCUUUUGGAUAUGAAGAUCCCUGCAAAAGCUAGUGCCUGGGGUUGGGGUCCUGGUUGUACUUGCUCAGAAUUAUGCGCCCGGGGCCCCCAAUCUUACACCACUGGGUAACUGGACAGGUAAGAGAGACAGAGAGAAUUGGGUAGGGUCUUGAGAUGGUGAUCACACAAUUGCUAGCCUCUUCUGGGGGUCAGCCAGCAAGGCUUCAGGGCCCAGAAACCCCUGGUGGUUGACAGACAGGGAAAGAUGAGGAGUUGGGGAUGGGGCCUUCCAGGAUGUGUUCAGGCAGUGGCAGCUCCCUGAUGGGCUGCUCUUCUGUUUUCUUUUGGAUAUGAAGAUACCUGCAAAAGCUAGUGCCUAUGGUGCCUAGGGUUGGGGUCCUGGUUGUACUUGCUCAGAAUUAUGCGCCCGGGGCCCCCAAUCUUACACCACUGGGUAACUGGACAGGUAAGAGAGACAGAGAGAAGUGGGGAGGGAUAUUUGGAGAAAACGGAGGGGUUUGCAGCAUGAAGGAGGUAAUUGUUUGUAGUCUGUUGCUUCUGAAAGUCUGUGUCAUCUAAAGUCUGUUUAGUAUCAUUAUAGGAAAUAUUCUAAUUCCCAUCUUUCAUACAAUAAAUUUACUUAAGGUUCAUCUUUAAUUUCUUAAGUUUUAUUCUUUUAUUUCUUUACUGAUGAUUAAAUGCCAACUAUCAUAAUGUACCAAUGCAGUGAAUGCUUUGUAACAGAGAACAAUACCUGCCAAGGUUCUACAUAUUGAGGAGAGAGACUUCCCCUAGCACCUCUCCAUUUGCAGAUGACUGCAGCCAAGUGCAUGCUAUGUAAGGCAUGUGCCAAAGCAUAGACAGCAUUAUAAACACUGUAGCUGUGGCCAGUCAUGCUCAUUUCAAAAAAUGGUGCAGGAAGGCUCUCCAGCAUCUCCUCUCCAGUACACAUGGUUGCUGAGAGAGUGGAAUUUGGAAGUGAACAACUGAAUGCAUCUUCCCAGAAAUCUUGGAUAAAACCAUCUGUCUCUUUCCAAUGAGGGUAUACACUCUGAAGAAAGUCUUGAAAGCUGUGAAUCUCCUUGGAGUGAAUUGCAAAGGAUAUUGCACCAUGGAGCAUUCGUAUUUUAACAUUAAUUUUUUUUUGAAGGCUAUAUAAUAUGAAAUCAAUUUGGGUAGUUGUAAUCCAUACUUUUCCUUCAUGUGACUUCUUUUGAGGAUAUAGUAGCUGAGUAAACUCCAUCAUGCUUAAAGCACUUGACAACCAUAUACUAGAUCUACUUUCUCCAUAUAGAAGAAUUGCAUUAGCUCUGCUGGUUGUGAAAGUUGGUAACAAAAUCCUUGAGUCCUCCAGCAUUUCUAGUAAGUUACUGUUAUAAUGUAUAUUGGGUUUAAAGCUUUCUGUGAAUGCCGAACAGAUUCCAUUCUUGAAAAGCAUUGGCUCAAUUGUCUGUAAGAAACGUUCCCCAGCUUCAUUAGCUGGAGUGAUGAGCCCAACCCAUUUCCAUCUGAAAUGCAGAAGUAACUGGAUAAUUCCCUGAUACUGAAGGUCUUCAUUGGGAACCAUGCGGUAAAAGGAAGGGAACUUGGUUCCAUAAUUUGUAGCUGGUUCAAAUGAACCAUAUGAAAUCUGGAAAAAGCAAAAGCCAAAUGUUUCCAAGUGGAAACAAGAACUCAUGAUAUUCCAGUUUAUUCAAAUAUAAACACAUGCACGCACACACACUUAAAUAUUGAAUAUAUAUUGAAUCUAUAUCCCAAGUUUACAAAGUUUAGAGACAGCACCAACCCCAGAUUAUAUUGGAAAGCACAGAUAUGCUUGCUCAAUGUUUUCUGUUGAUAUUUAUUAUUAUUAUGGCACCAUUACAGCUUCAUUCUUGUACAUAUUGAUUGUAUCCAAGAAUAGGGGAGCAUUUGGGAGAGGAGCUUUCGGCUAGCUGCGAUGGAGGAUUGCUGAAUUCCAUCACUGCCGUACGUUCCGGAAUCACAGGCUGAGAUGGGAGUACAGUAAUCAACCACCCUACACUCCUCAGGCUGGGGAGUGGCAGGUCAUCCGCAGAUUGCCCAAAACCUGGCCCCAAAUUCAGAAGGAGGGGCUGGGGAUGGCUGGAUAGAAAGCCCGGAACGUUUCUUGGCAACUCUCCAAAGUCGCCUCCAUUUAGCAGCAAACUUCCAAUUAUUAAGAUGAAAAAUUGGAUUUAGGUUUUGGACAUGAUCUGAGCAAAGGGGGAGAAACUACUCUGCUAAUUAAUUCAGCCACUGAGGUGCUAAAAAGGAUUUGAAUGGAAGAAGUAUUAACAUCUAUGUAGACUUGGUAUGUUGGAACUGAAAGGGGGGGGGUUCAGCCUCCUUUUUAAUUACAUUUAGUUUUGCUAUGCUACAUGGCAAAAUCCUCCUCUGAAAGAACCAACUGCCUGAUUAUUUAUAGCAAGCGAGACUGGAGAGCUGGUGUAUUUGGUGAUAUAAUAUGAUUCUAAUAGUCAUUAACUGUGUGGAAAUAACAAUUAUUCAAAAGUGGAAAACCAAGUUCAAAGUAUUCGGCUGCAGAUAUAUUUGGAAGAAGAUAAAGAGUUUCCCAACUUUGAUUUGGAGAAUGACUGGAGAGAUGCCAAAAACACUUAGGAAGUUUGCCUAGAAUUAGAAUCGGAAUGAUGCAGCGCCAAUUAAACGAGCGGCCAAGACCGAAAGUAGAUCCACUUGUCAGAUGAAAUGCAGAGCCUUAGGGGAUAGGUGCCUUUUAAUAUCUUACUUAAUAUUUGCAUUCCCACUUUUAUAUGGCAAAACCUUCCCUGGACAGGUUAACCAUUUGAAGGACACCUGGUCUUAAAAGCAUUGGGCAGAUGCCUUGCUUUGAUUUUAUCUGGACUGACUUGGCUGCUGCCCGAGAGGAGAAGAUUUUUGGACUGGCUUGGCGGAUGGAAUCACCCCCUGCAUCUUUUGAACCCGGGGGUGAUUUAUUGGCACCACAGGCGAAGGCAGUGUCCCCCCAUUCCCUGGGGUAACAAGGGAGGCUGCGUACUCCCAUAUCAGCCUCUUAAUUUCCUCGUGUGAGCCGGAGAGAUGGUAUUGCCGGCCAUCUUCCAAUGCACCCCUAGCGGCCCCAGAGACUCCAAAUUCUUGGUUAUCACCCUCACAAAGAUCCCCCUGGUAUCCCUCACAAAGAUCCCCCUGGUAUAGUGAGGUUUUGUUUUUAAGCCUUCGGGUCAAAGGUUGUUGAGUGAGGUGGGAGCAAUAUAUUUAAGAGAGAGUGCACACAUGGACUUGAGUGGUAAAUGAGGUGCCAAGUUUGUCGCAUCCAUCUUUUCCAAGUUGUUGCUGUUCUCCAUCAUGCUUUGUGUGGAUCCGAUAUCCCAUUGGUCUAUUGAUGCUGUAAUCCAGUGUCCCCACUUCUUGAUAAGUCAAGGAUGCUAUUCAGAAUUGCUGCCACCAUUCAGUUAAUAUGAUGGCAAACCAUGUCUGAUCAGUGUUACAUAGGUGGGAGAGUGAUGGAUACCACAGUACUAACAAAUUAGGAAGCGGGGAAAGGAUGGAGCCAGCUCAGCUCUAGACAUCCUGCUGACCUUGUAGGUUCAUUCCUUGCUUAUGAUUUUGUGAUGUUACAAAUAUAAUUACAUUGGCAGAUCCGGCUUCCUGUCUACUAGCUGCAGUAAUAAAUCCUUUUGGAUUCAGUAUCUGCAGUCUGGAUUCAGACUGUUCCUCCUAGGCUGGAAAAAAUGGUGAACACUGCUUUUUUACUGGAAGCCGAAUCACAGGACAAAGCGAUCCAGUGACUUUUGGAAACUGUGGGAUAACCCUUCUCCCAGGGCAUGAUGGGAACCAUCAACAGUUGCAGGCAUGAAGGAUACAGCACCAUAUAUGGGUGGGAAAACAUCAUGAGGGGAAAUUGUCACACGCAGGAAAGAAUAAGGACUACACUUAAAGUUCCUCACUUGAAAGUUUAUAAAUUACCUAAUACAAAUAGAAAUCACAAGACUGUAGCCGUUAUAUAAGAGAUUAUUAUAUGUGCAUGGAAUGCAAUGGAAAUUAUUAACAUAGUGGAACACAGAAAUAAUGAAGAAGAAUGAAGCCAUCAAAUUUCGCAUGCAAAGGGAAACGUUUAAUUAAAUCAUAUAAUUGACAUUUGAAUAAUUGGCAUUCAUAAUUGCAUUAAUUAGAUAAAAUUGGUAUUGUUAUAAUGAGGUCGCUAUUGGAACAAUAUUGGGAAAUCAAUAAAAAUAUAUAUUUAAAAAAUAAUAAUAGUAAUAUUUUGGCAGUUCCGCUACUGCUGAUGCGCCAUAGAACCCAAAAACACUGCACAACUGAUUCUCUCCCCUAUCAUUAUUCAAAUUACAGUAAUCAAUCCACCUGACUGAACCUCCAGAUGUCACAGUGGAAAAAAAGAAUCAACAAGCAAGCCUGAAAUGAUUAUAAGCUCCUCUGUGCUCCAUAGACAACAAGGCUGGGCUCUGUUACUUAUCAGUUAUCAGUUUCCCUUUUUCAUAUCAAACCACUGCAUCUUAUUUGGUAUCCAAGGCAUUCUGUUGUGAGAACGUUCAAGCUAAGAAUAAGGGGAUACGUGUCCCUUAAAGUAUCAGAUUGACAGAGUCAGCUGCCACCCAAUUUGUCUUGUUCAGAUCAGGUGGAGGAGAGAAAUAAUACUGGUGAGAGAAGCAGGGGAGUCCAUGCAGACAAGUGUAUUUGCCAUCAGGAUGUUGCUCCUGCUGCUUCUGCUGCUCCCCAAUAUAGUGUCCCAAGGACAAAGUGCUCAAUGCGCAACAAAUCAUCCUGUUCAUGUUCCACACGAGUGGUAUGAGCCAGGAGACCUGGUCAUUGGUGCAAUGGCAUCUCAUAUUUAUUACAUAGUCCCCAAAUUAUCCUUCAAGAAACACCCUUCCCAGGACUUCAUUGAUGCCCCACUGUAAGUAACCGUUAAUUAAUAUUAUUUUAAUUAUUCCUGAUAUGAUUGAUUGGGGGGGAUAGCUUUAGAACUUUAUUUUUUAAAUGUGUCAUGAGAUUUUAUUAGAAAUCUCUGUGCAUAUAGGCUGUGUUCAUACUCUCAAUGAACUAUAAGCUUUUUUGAUUCUAAUUGUGUAAAGAGAGAUAGAAAAGAGAGUAGGAGAAAGAGAAAAGAGAUGGAAUAAAAAAAUAGGAACGGUACUGAAUUUUUUUGAUGAUACCCAAAUUUUCAAGGUACUGAAAACAAACACAGUAUUCUUAGAUUGCCCAAAUAAGUACAUAAACUUUGCUGGCUUCAUCCUCUCUUUAUAGGCAGGCAGGUAAAUCUCUCCUAUCUAGAUUCUGAGCACUGUUUAAUUUCCCCAUCAAACAAAAUCUCACUUCAUUUGCAGGGUGUUGACAAUGUUGACAGAUGGAAAAGAGAGUAGGAGAAAGAGAAAAGGCAUGAAAACCUAGGAGAAACAUAUAGCCAAAAGUGUUGUACUCAACUUUGUUGAUGAUACCCAAAUUUUCAAGCUGGUGAAAACAAACACGGGUUGCUGAAGAUAUCAAAGAAAUGUGCAACGGCUUUUUUAAUUGAGGCAAGGAAGAAGGGCUACCCUUAUGCAAUUCAUAUAAUCAGUUAUCAGUAAUCAAUAUAUUCAUAUAUGCUCACACAUAAUCAGGGCUUACAGUAUUUUUAUAAUCCAUUUUGAAUCAAAGGGAAGCUGUGCCUUAGCUAUCUGCAUACUGCUUGAAACAGCAAAAUUAGGAGCCGACCUUUCCCCUACAAACAUCCGUGUACCCUGAACAAGGGGAAGGAGUGAAUCAGAGAUACUGGUACAAAAUCCCCUCAGAUACAGGCUAAAUUAAUCCACAGAACAGGAAGAGCUAAACCACAAAAUCUCCAAUACUCCCUGUCCUGUCAUAACUAGGGGAGAGGUUAGACAGAGCGUCACUGCAAGCAGCGGAAAGCAGAACUAGUACUCCGUGCUUGACCAGUGCUUGAACAGGAGCUGGAAGCAUGGCAAGAAGCUUGCUAAUUGGCUAAUUUUCGCUGGCAACAUCGUGACUGCCUCAUGGUUGUCUCAUGAUCUAUGAUUUGCUGUGAUCUGCUCAGGUAUAAAGACCUCUGGAUUUCUGUCAAUCGGGGUCCCAGUUCCUUUUGGAAGAGAUUCCAAACUGGGUCCUUAUUGCCUGGCAAUAAACUUCACCUUCUUAUUCUCCAUUGCUGAGUCUGCCUGAUCCUUAUUAAUGCCAAGCGAGUACCUGCUUACGUUCACGAGCUUCAUAAUGACACAGUAUUAUGAGACUGCCUAUUAAGUAAAUAAACUUUGCGGGCUUUGUCCUUUCUUUCGAUAGGCAGGCAGGUGAGUCUCUCAUACCUAGAUUAUGAUUAAUUUCCCCACUCUUAUUUCAUCUGCAGGGUGGUGACAAAGUUUUACCAGCAAAUCCUGGCCUUGGUGUUUGCUGUUGAUGAGAUCAACAAGAAUCCCAGGAUGUUGCCCAAUGUCUCUCUCGGCUUCCACAUCUAUGUUAGCUAUUAUGAUUCAAUGAUGACCUACCGAAACACUCUGGACCUGCUCUUUAAAUCACAUCACUUUGUUCCCAACUACAGGUGUGGCAUCCAGAAAAAUGUCAUAGGAGUCAUUGGGGGACUCAGCUCUGAUACCUCCUGGUGCAUGGCAAACGUCUUAGGUCUUUUCAAGAUUCCACAGGUAGAAUUUGGAUUUUGAAAAACAGAGAUUUCAUGCUGUCCUUGCAUUAGGAAUCUACUGAUUCAUAAAUAUGGAGUGGGAGAAUGAACAAAGUAAAAGGGGUAUAAUAUGCAUAUCCAACAAUGUGUGUAACAUGGACCAUUUGUGUGUAAUAGAUGUAAUAGAAUAUUGCUGUAAAGCUGCCAGGUAUGUAAAGGAGGCAUGGGACGCGGGGUGGUGCUGUGGGUUAAACCACAGAGCCUAGGACUUGCCGAUCAGAAGGUCGGCGGUUUGAAUCCCCGUGACGGGGUAAGUUCCCGUUGCUCGGUCCCUGCUCCUGCCAACCUAGCAGUUCGAAAGGUUGUCAAAGUGCAAGUAGAUAAAUAGGAACCGCUCCGACAGGAAGGUAAACGGCGUUUCAAUUCGCUGCUCUGGUUUGCCAGAAGAAGCUUAGUCAUGCUGGCCACAUGACCCGGAAGCUAUACAUCGGCUCCCUUGGCCAAUAAAGCGAGAUGAGCACCGCAACCCCAGAGUCAGUCAUGACUGGACCUGAUGGUCAGGGAUUCCUUUACCUUUUAUGUAAAGCAGGCAGCUAGACUGGUUCAUAUUCAUCAAUCCUGAAAGCACUGCACUGGCUUCCUGUGAGGUACUCAGUAUAUGACAUUGGCAUUGGAUUCAUAGGCAAAAAUAGCUGAGAACACAUUAACUAAAAAUGUUCCUGCCCUUAAAAAUCAAGAUAGUCCUUUCCCAAAGUAUGAUUUUAAUCAACAUUGUUCACUUUCAGAGGUUAAUUGAAAAAGUGUUUUCUUGCUUUGUUCUGGCAUUUGGCAUCUGUCACUUCAGAGCGUUAUAUAGUGGUGUCAACAUUGUGCUAUUCUGCUACAUUGUUGUAUUUCAUUUUAGUUGUUUUAAAUAGUGCUGGUACAGUAUUUUGUAUUUUACUGAUAUUUUAUAUGAUUUGGUUUUGUGCUCAGAGAUGAAUAGUAUACACAAUCUAAUGCAGAUCUUCAGGAUUUCCCAGGAAAUCUUCCUGAGAGAGUUCUUAGUAGAUAGAGAAUCAACCGCUCCCUACAAUCAUUACAAAGGUUACAGAUCAAAAGUACAUGAUCAACAAUUUCUAUCACUCCACUUCCACCUUGGAGUUUUGCUUCAUCAUCCACUUAGUAUAUUAACAUGAGCCAUGAUAAAUGGUCCCCUAUUAUUCUUUUUUUUAAAAAAAAUACUAUUUAUUAAAUUUUCCACUUUAACAAUCCAAUCAAAUCAUAUUAAAUAUUCCAAAUUUUACAUAUUAUUCAAAUAUUAGACAUAUUAUUCCAAAUAUUAUGCCAAAUUAUAUAAAAAAAAUUGAAGAUAUCUUCCCAUGUUCUGAGGUCGGGGGUGGUUCUGAUCAUCUCAUACUUCUGCUGCUUUCAUAAUUUUCAUGAUAGUUCCCAUAAAUCAUUCUGAUGUUAAUCCUCAUUACAUUUCACAGCCUCUGAACAAGCAAUGGAAAACAAAACAAUAUAUUUUGUGUGGAAUUUACAUCCCGAGUUCUCUCUGUAUGUUCACGGUGUCUCUUCACAAAAUGAUGUUUCCACCAAGCCAGUCCAAAAAUCUUCUCAUCUCGGGCAGCAGCCAAGUCAGUCCAGAUAAUAUCAAAGAUAAUAUCAAAAUAUUUGUAACUGGCUGACUGACCGAACCCAAAGGGUGCUCAUCAAUGGUUCCUCUUCAUCCUGGAGAAGAGUGACUAGUGGGGUGCCACAGGGUUCUGUCUUGGGCCCGGUCUUAUUCAACAUCUUUAUCAACGACUUGGAUAAUGGACUCAAGGGCAUCCUGAUCAAAUUUGCAGAUGACACCAAACUGGGAGGGGUGGCUAACACCCCAGAGGACAGGAUCACACUUCAAAACGACCUUGACAGAUUAGAGAACUGGGCCAAAACAAACAAGAUGAAUUUUAACAGGGAGAAAUGUAAAGUAUUGCACUUGGGGGGUGGGGAAUGACAGGCACAAAUACAAGAUGGGUGACACCUGGCUUGAGAGCAGUACAUGUGAAAAGGAUCUAGGAGUCUUGGUUGACCACAAACUUGACAUGAGCCAACAGUGUGACGCGGCCAAUGCAAUUCUGGGCUGCAUCAAUAGGAGUAUAGCAUCUAGAUCAAGGGAAGUAAUAGUGCCACUGUAUUCUGCUCUGGUCAGACCUCACCUGGAGUACUGUGUCCAGUUCUGGGCACCACAAUUCAAGAAGGACACUGACAAACUGGAACGUGUCCAGAGGAGGGCAACCAAAAUGGUCAAAGGCCUGGAAACGAUGCCUUAUGAGGAACGGCUAAGGGAGCUGGGCAUGUUUAGCCUGGAGAAGAGGAGGUUAAGGGGUGAUAUGAUAGCCAUGUUCAAAUAUAUAAAAGGAUGUCACAUAGAGGAGGGAGAAAGGUUGUUUUCUGCUGCUCCAGAGAAGCGGACACGGAGCAAUGGAUCCAAACUACAAGAAAGAAGAUUCCACCUAAACAUUAGGAAGAACUUCCUGACAGUAAGAGCUGUUCUGACAGUGGAAUUUGCUGCCAAGGAGUGUGGUGGAGUCUCCUUCUUUGGAGGUCUUUAAGCAGAGGCUUGACAACCAUAUGUCAGGAGUGCUCUGAUGGUGUUUCCUGCUUGGCAGGGGGUUGGACUCGAUGGCCCUGGUGGUCUCUUCCAACUCUAUGAUUCUGUGAUUCUAUGAUUCUAUGAAAGCAAGGCAUCUGCCCAAUGCUUUAAGACCAGCUGUCCUUAAAAUGGUUCACCUGUCCAGGGAAGGUUUUGCCAUAUAAAACUGGGAAUGCAAAUAUUAAGUAAGAUAUUAAAAGGCUCUGCAUUUAAUUUGACAAGCUGAUCUACUUUCGAUCAUGGCCACUCAUUUAGUUGGAGCUGCGGCAUUCUGAUUCUAAUUCUCGGCAAACUUCCUAAGUUUUUUUGGCGUCUCUCCAGUCAUUCUCCAAAUCAAAAUUGGGAAACUCUUUAUCCUCUUCCAAAUAUAUCUGAAGUCGAAUACUUUGAACUUGGUUUUCCACUUUUGAAUAAUUGUUAUUUCCACACAGUUAAUGACUAUUAGAAUCAUAUUAUAUCACCAAAUACACCAGCUCUCCAGUCUCGCUUGCUAUAAAUAAUCAGGGAGUUGGUUCUUUCAGAGGAGGAUUUUGCCAUAUAAGAAAGCAAAAUGAAAUAUAGUAAUAAAGAAGGCUGAACCCCCCCCUUUCAGUUGCAACAUACCAAGUCUACAUAGAUGUUUAUCCCUUUUCCACACCCCCCUUCCUUCACUGGGAUUUGGAAGUCUCUUCUUUCCUCAGAAGUCUCUCCCCUCCAGAUUAGUUUGAGACCUAAGCAGACUCAUCUAUUUCAGAUCCUCCUUCUCCUGCCUCACCCUCAGUCUCCCAGAAAGAUUUGGUCCUUUUACUCCUGCAGGACAAUACACUCAGUCCUUCACUGUACACUCAGAGUGGAUGUUUUAUUCCAGAACCAACUCUCCCUCCUCCACACUCCUAUCCUAUCUCCCUAACUCACAAUCUCUCCAGCCUCCCUCCUCAACCACCUCAACUCAACCCCCCUCUUAACCACACUCUAACUCCAUCUCCCUUGAAAUCUGCUCCCUUUAAACUCUCCCUCCUGGAACCACAGCCAAUCAGAGGCUGCUGUUCUUUAAGCAUUUGCUGGCAGGAGAAAAAAGUAAAAAGAAAUACUUGUGGAACCAACUUUUCCGUCACAAUAGGCACAACAUUUUACAAGGAUUGGAAGAGACACCACAGACAGAAUAACUGCCACACACUGGAAGAACAAGGAUAUCGUUUGAGUGCCUCAUUUGUAGUUCUAUAAAUCAUUCAAUUUGUCAACACAAAUAGAAGUUAUUAAUAUUGCAGUUGUUGUAUAAGGGAUUAUUAUUUUCACCAGAAUAUAAUAGAAAUUAAUAAGAUUUUGGAAUGCAGAAAUAAAGGAAAUCAUCUAGCAAUGGGGGGGCACCUAAAUUAUCUGAUUCGGUAUUUAAGUGAUUAGUAUUACUAUUACAAUUUGGUAUUGUUUUAAUGAGGCUAUUAUUGAAUGGUAAUUUAAAAUUAAUAAAAAUUAUUAUAACAGACAUAGAAUAGCUGGACUUUAGAAUCAAUUUUAGGAACAACACAUCUGUAUUCUCUGAAGCCAUUUGGCUUAUUUGAGAUAUUCUCUGCCACCACUCUUUCAAAAGGCUUGUCCUAUUAGUGUUAGUAAUAUCCAGUGUGUUUUCCUCCAGAUAUGGUUGCAUAUCUCUGCUACUUUUUUUUGUUAAAACUAUUUUUUUUCAAAAAAGGGAAAUGGCUGUUUUAAACUACUCCUUCUUCUUUUCCUCAGCUGCCUUGUAGGUGAGAGAUAAAGAAUGCAGAGCCCUUAACUAUUUCACAAUGUUUUUUGUUUCUGGUACCCUGUGUUGUCUUCAAGAUGAAUUUGCAGAUUACACGAAGUAAUUGAUAAGAGACUUUUUAUUAACAAUCAUUCAUACAGUACAUGUACAACAUUGAACCACUGAAAUUAACCAUUUCUAAAUGAAAAGGCUGAGAGUUUUGCUAUUAAGAUUCCAUUUGCUUUAAAUAUACAGUAAUACAUGACAGGGGUGUAUGGAGUGUUAGGGAGGGGUAGUAACUCUAGUGGGGAACAAGUCGUGCUCCUUCUGGGGUAGUUUGUCUACCUCAGAUCCCCACCCUGCACUCAGUUCUCCCCUGUGGCUCCUAGACGUUGUCAGCAUGCAACAGCAGCCACAUACCACAAAACAGAUUCAACUGACUGCCUAAAUUAGGUGAGGGCAGCCAAUGGGCCUCAAAUCUUCAGUGAGUUGGGGAAUUUCUCUGCAUGCAAAGACAGGAUAUAGCAGAUGAGAACAAAAGUGGGCCCAAUGCUUAAAAAGGUGGCUACUGCAGGUGCUGUAGAGGGAAAUGAGGGGCAGAUGGGUCUCUUAAACCUAAGAAGGGAGCCCACCUAGGAGAAGAAAACUUUGAACCUAAACCUCAAUUGCUUUACAGCAUUACUCAUUUGUGAAAAAGGCUUUGGGUGUAGAACCUGAGGAAAAAUCUGUACCCAUUGCCUUAGGAAAAUCUUUGGCAGACAAAAAAGUUAAGAAGCAAACUCUACACUUAUCCAGAGCAGGGACCCGGAAAGUGAUACCAGCCAGCAAGUCCAUGUAUUCUAAGACCCAACAGAACCACAAAUUCCACUGUCAUUUAUACCUUUCUUUGUGUUAGCUGCUCUUUGUUGUUCAGGUCUGGCCUCCCCACACUACUCUAGCAUUUAGGGGAGAAAAUGCAAGCCAGUAACCCAGCACCAGAAGCAAAGAUGGAGAAGAUCUCCACAGCCACCAUGUAUUUUCCUCUGGUGCUCAGGUAGGUUGGAAUGAAGGAGAGCCAAACACUGCAGAAGACCAGCAUGCUGAAGGUGAUGAACUUGGCUUCGUUGAAAGUGUCAGGCAACUUCCUGGCUAGGAAGGCCACCGUGAAGCUGAUAGUGGCCAGGAAGCCCAUGUAGCCCAAAACACAAUAGAACAUGGAGACUGACCCUUCAUUACAUAGAAAUAUGAUUUCUUCAGGCAUUGAGUGCAUGUCCACAUCUGGGAAUGGGGGAGAGGUUGCCAGCCAGAGGACACAGAUUCCUACUUGGACAAUGGAGCAGGAAAAGACAAUGGAAUAAGCCAGUUCUUUGCCUACCCAUUUCCUCAUAUUGGAUCCUGGUUUGGUAGCCAUGAAUGCCAAAACCACCAAUAUGGUUUUGGCUAAGAUGCUGGAGAGGGCCACAGAGAAGACAAUGCCAAAAGCAGUUUGUCGGAGAAGGCAAGUCACCAUAUUAGGUUUUCCGAUAAACAACAAAGAAGAGAGGAAACACAAGAGGAGGGAGAUAAGGAGACCAUAGGUGAGGCUUCGGUUGUUGGCUUUGACUAUGGCUGUAUUGCGAUGCUUAAUGAAGAUGCCUAGCACUAGAAUUGUGAUCAGAGAGAAUAGAAGCACAGAGGAUGUUGAAACAAUGGCCAAGGUUUCAUCAAAGGCUAGGAAGUUUGGAAUCUUAGGAAUGCAUAGAUCCUGGCCGCUGUUUGGAUACUGAUCUGCUGGGCAACUGACACAUGUUUCCAUGUCUGAAAAUACAAAAACAAUGUGUGACAAUUUGAAGUAACCAAAAGUAUUAUUAAGAAUUUCACAUCACUAGUCCAUUUAGCAUAGUGUUUUCUACGUCAGAAUGUAUAAGAGCUUCAAGUCCAAAUGCUUUUAUAACAGGUGUAUCAAAAAUAAAACUUGUGGAUCAAUACUGGAAUUUUCUACAUUGGUAACAUCUUUUUUUUCUUUAUUGUCUCCCUGCUUUUUCUUAGAGCCACAUAAACAGUACAACAAAAUGAGAAAUGCAUUACAGCUGAAAUCUUUGGAUCUCAGAAAAGCGAGUUUGGUAAUAGUUUCACCCUAUUGUCAAACAACCUGAUUCUUAGAGGAGAAAACACCACUUCUAUUCCACCCCAAUUUUGUAGAAGUUGGAGGUAAAAUAUCUUAGCUUUCACUUAAAAAAGAAAUCUUCAAGAUGUUUUAAAGAUUAAAAUAUAUUGAUGUUAUCUCUAAACAAUGAGAAGAACACAUCUAUUAAUUUAAGCCUUUUCUCCUGCAGCAGUUUAAUGUCAACAAAAUUGCCAGGAGCCCAGAGGUUCUGCAUUAUCUUAAGAUGUCAUCUCUAACCUUUCUCAUUUGAAAUCAUUCCUUCUGGACAUGGAUCACAAUCAUAGCAGCAAAACGUCUUUCCCUCCUUCUUUUUCUUCCCGUAACCAGGAUGGCAGUUGGCAUUACAUAGAGAAAGCGGUGGCACCUAUGCAAAGAGAUAGAAGAGUUUGAUAUUAUUAUAUUGUUUUGGAGAAUUUAUCCAAUAUCCAAUAUCAGGUGAUUUAAUAGUAAAUAGGAGUACUAAUAGUGUGAAAUGAUCCGUAGCUACACAUAAGUGGCACAAACUUAAGAAGAUGCCUGGACCAUCCAACCUUACAGCUGUGUAAGAAUUCGGUGUGAUUUCACCCCUGGCUUGGCCUUUUGAUGGAGUCACCACCUAACGGCAUUUGCUUUAAGGAGUUCACAUGCUGUUCCUUUGUGGUGGCACAAGGAAUUAAAAGGUAAGCCAUUAUAGUGGUUCUGCUCCUACGUGCAGGCUCAUUACAAGCAACUAGCAAUAGGAAAUCAUUCCAUGACUUUUGGGUUGCGCUUUCCUGUUAGGCCACAUCCUGUCUCAGAGAGAAAUGCUUUGGGUUCCUAUGCCUGACCUGUUCUGGGAGGAGUUGCAUUCCGUUUGAAACAAGAGGUCUGGGAGCACUCCUCGAUUCUAACUCAUCACUAGUCUGAAGUGGUUUCAGGUGCUAGUGAAUUUCAAAAUGAAUAAUGUAUGAAGUGCUUUUGUUACAUCCCAUUUUGUGGAUAACCACAAAUUCUGGGUUUUUAGGGACUGUGCCAUUAUUUCCAUACCUUAGUGAAGCGUCUGUGCCAUUUGAUUCUGUCUUCAUUAAUGGUGAGUUCUUUCCCUGGAGGGGCCUGAGGAUCCAAACUUCCCACUUUGACUCUGACAUAGGAAUUAUUUGGGAAAGUGACCAAGUUGGUAAUAUCAAAGCCAGCUGCUAACUCUCCAUAUUCAUUUAAUGUAAUUUCAUCCCCAGCACUGUUGUUGAAUGAGAUUCUCUGCAGGAAUGAGUGGAGCUAAGUGGAAAGAGCAUUGAAGUUAAACACUUCAGUUCACAACAAAGAGCAUCCAUAUUUUAGUUGCCCAUACAGGAAGAGUAGGAAAUCAUGAAUCAGUGCCAAUUCAACAUUCAACAUACUUGCAUAAAUAUAUUAUGGAGAGAAGAGACCAUAGACCUGCUUGCUUGAGACCAGCCUUUGUCUGUAUCCAAGAAAGGGAUGGAAUUUGAGAAGUCAUGUAAGAGAAGAGAUGGGAGCUUAUGUCCUCAAACGAUAGGAAUGCAACAUGAGAACCUCGGACUGGACCUUUCCAUAGUUUAUAGAGUGGAUUUGAGCAUGGUUGGAUGUUGGAUGCAGAGGAGUGGCAGGAAGCAGCUGCUGGGGAACCCCAAAGGGACACCCCAAGGAAAGGAGGCUCAGAGCCAGGGGAUUGGUGGUGGGAUGACAAGGAGUGGUCAGUGGCAGAAGAGGGAGCAGACUGGGAUGAAGAGGUGUCAGAAACAGAAGAGGCAACAGGGUUAAUGGAGCAGGAAGAGGAUGCUUCAGACUGAAAUCCAGACUUAAAGGCAGAAAAGUGUCUAGAGACAGUGAUCACACAGUUGCUAGCCUCUUCUGGGGACCUACCAGUGAGGCUUCAGGCCCAGAACCUCCCUGGUGGUGGGCAGACAGGGAAAGAUGAGGAGUUGGGGAGAAGGCCUUCCAGGACGUGCCCAGGCAGUGGCAGCUCCCUGAUGGGCUGCUCUUCUCUUUUCUCUUGGAUAUGAGGAUCCCUGCAAAAGCCAGUGCCUGGGUUUGGGGUCCUGGUUGUUCUCCCUCAGAAUAAUGCUCCCAGGGCCAUGGGCCCCAAGCCCCCACCCUUACACCACUGGGUAACUGGACAGGUAAGAGAGACAGAGAGACCUGGGGAGGGAUGCGGAUGGAAAAUAGAGGGGUUUUAUAAUAUGGAGAAGGUGGAUGGCACAGCUUCAGUUACAUUUAGUUUUUGGUAGUCUGUUGAUUCUGAAAGCCUGUGUCAUCUAAAGUCUUUUUAGUAUCAUUAUAGGAAAUAUUCUAAUUCCCAUCUUUGAUAUAAUUACUAAAGGUUUAUUUUUUAAUUUUUUAAGUUUUAUUCUUUUAUUUCUUUACUGAUAAGUAAAUACCUACUGACAAAAUGUACCAAUGCAGUGAAUGCUUUGUAAGAGGGAACAAUACCUGCCAAGGAUCUGCAUACCGAGGAGAGAGUUUUCCCUUAGCAUCUCUCCUGUUGCGGAUGGCUCCAGCCAAGUGCAUGCUAUUUAAGGCAUGUGCCAAAGCAUAGACAGCAUUAUAAAUACUGUAGCUGGGGCCAGUCAUGCUCAUUUCAAAAUAUGGUGCAGGGAGGCUCUCCAGCAUCUCCUCUCCAGUACACAUGGUUGCUGAGAGAGUGGAAUUUGAAAGUGAACAACUGAAUGCAUCUUCCCAGAAAUCUUGGAUAAAACCAUCUGCCUCUGUCCAAUGAGGAUAUACACUCUGAAGAAAGUCUUUAAAGUUGUGAAUCUCCUUGGAGUGAAUUGCAAAGGAUAUAGCACCAUGGAACAUUCGUAUAUUAACAUUAAAUUUUUUUUGCAGGCUAUAUAAUAUGAAAUCAAUUUGGGUAGUUGUAAUCCAUACUUUUCCUUCACGUGACUUCUUUUGAGGAAAUAGUAGCUGAGUAAACUCCAUUGUGCUUAAAGCAGUUGACAACCAUAUACUAGAUCUACUUUCUCCAUAUAGAAGAAUUGCAUUAGCUUUGCUGGUUGUGAAUGCUGGUAAUAAAAUCUGUAUGUCCACCAAUUCUAGUAAGUUACCAUUAUAAUGUAUUCUGGUUUUAACGCUUUCUGUGAAUGCUGAACAGAUUCCAUUCUUGAAAAGCAUUGGCUCAAUGUUCUGCAAGAAACGUUCUCCAGCUUCAUUAGCUGGAGUCAUGAGCCCAACCCAUUUCCAUCUGAAAUGCAGAAGUAACCGGAUAAUUCCCUGAUACUGAAGGUCUUCAUUGGGGACCAUGCGGUAAAAGGAAGGGAACUUGGUUCCAUCAUUUAUGGGUGGUUCAAAUGAACCAUAUGAAAUCUGGAAAAAGCAAAAGCCAAACGUUUCCAAGUGGAAACAAGAAAUCAUGAUAUCCCAGAAUAUUUGUAUAUAAACACACACACACACACACACACUGAAUAUAUAUCCCAAAUGUACCAAAUUACAUAGAAAAACAGAUAUAAUCUUGCUCUUGGUUUCUGUAGAUAUUUAUUGUUAUUAUUCUGGCAUCAUCCCAGCUUUAUAAUUGUACACACUGAUUGUCUCCAAGUAGAGAGGAGCAUUUAUAAUCGUUCGUGUUAAUAUCCUAAAUGGAAGACUCAACAAAGUCCAAAGUGGAGGUGGAUCAUGUAGUUUUGCUCUGUAACCUUUAUAGUGAUUGUAGGGAGUGGUUGAUUCUCUAUCUAUUGAUAUUUGUUAUUAAUAUUAUGGCAUCAUCGCAGCUUCAUUCUUGUACAUUUUGAUUGUAAUUAAGAAUAGGGAAGCAUUUAUCAUGGCUCAUGUUUAUAUACUAAGUGGAUGAUUAAGCAAAACUCCAAGGUGGAAGUGGAGUGAUAGAAAUUGUUGAUUAUGUACUUUUGCUCUGUAACCUUUGUAAUGUUUGUAGGAAGCCAUUGAUUCUCUAUCUACUAAGUACUCUCUCAGGAAGUUUUCCUGGGAAAUCCUGAAGAGCUCCAUUAGAUUGUACAGUGGUACCUCGGGUUAAGUACUUAAUUUGUUCUGGAGGUACGUUCUUAACCUGAAACUGUUCUUAACCUGAAGCACCACUUUAGCUAAUGGGGCCUCCUGCUUCUGCUGCGCCGCCUUUGCAUGAUUUCUGUUCUCAUCCUGAAGCAAAGUUCUUAACCUGAAGCACUAUUUCUGGGUUAGCGGAGUCUGUAACCUGAAGCGUAUGUAACCUGGAGCGUAUGUAACCCGAGGUACCACUGUAUAUGCUAUUCUUCUCUGAGCACUAUAAACCAAAUCAUAUAAAAUAUCAGUAAAAUAUAAAAUACUGUACCAGCACUAUUUAAAACAACUAAAAUGAAAUACUGCAAUGCAGCAGAAUAGCACAAUGCUGACACCACUAUAUAACGCUCUGAAAUGACAGAUGACAAAUGCCAGAACAAAGCAAGAAAACACUUUUUCAAUUAGCCUCUGAAAGUGAACAAUGUUGAUUGACAUCAUACUUUGGGAAAGGACUAUCUUGUUUUUUAAGGGGAAGAAUAUAUUUAGUUAAUGUGUUCUCAGUUAUUUUUGUCUAUGAAGCCAAAGUCAAUGUCAUAUAUUCAGUAGCUCACAGGAAGCCAGUGCAGUGCAUUCAGGAUUGAUGUAUAUGAACCAGUCUAGGUGCCUCCUUUACAAACCUGGCAGCUUUGCAGCAAUCUUCUAUUACAUCUAUUAAACACAAAUUGCCCUUCUUAAACACAUUGUAGGAUAUGCAUAUUAUGGCCCUUUUACUUUGUCUAUUUCCCCACUCCAUAUUUAUGAAUCAGUAGAUUUCUAAUGCAAGGAAAGCAUGAAAUCUAUUUUUCAAAAUCCAUAUUCUACCUGUGGAAUCUUGAAAAGACCUAAGACGUUUGCCAUGCACCAGGAGGUAUCAGAGCUGAGUCCCCCAAUGACUCCUAUGACAUUUUUCUGGAUGCCACACCUGUAGUUGGGAACAAAGUGAUGUGAUUUAAAGAGCAGGUCCAGAGUGUUUCGGUAGGUCAUCUUUGAAUCAUAAUAGCUAUCAUAGAUGUGGAAGCCGAGAGAGACAUUGGGCAACAUCCUGGGAUUCUCGUUGAUCUCAUCAACAGCAAACACCAAGGCCAGGAUUUGCUGGUAGAACUUUGUCAACACCCUGCAAAUGAAGUGAGGUUUUGUUUGAUGGGAAAAUUAAACAGUGCACAGAAUCUAGAUAGGAGAGAUUCACCUGCCUGCCUAUAGAGGAUAAAGCCAGCAAAGUUUAUUUACUUAUUUGGGCAAUCUAAGAAUACUGUGUGAUUUUAAAAGCUGUUGCAUAUUUCUUCAUAUCUUUAGCAAUCCGUGUUUGUUUUCACCACCUUGAAAAUUUGGGUAUCAUCAAAAAAGUUCAGUACCAUACUACUUUGCUAUAUUAUUUCCUAUUUUUUAUGCCAUCACUUUUCUCUUUCUCUUUAAACAAUUAGACUCAAAAAAGCUUAUUGUUCAUUGACAAUAUGCAGAUAGCCUAUAUGCACAGAGAUUUCUAAUAAAACCUCUCCACGCAUUUAAAAAAUAAAGUUCUAAAGUAAUCCUCCCUUCAUAUCAAUCAAAGUUAUUUUCAGUCAGUUAUAGCAUAUAUGGAAUAAUUAAAAUAAUAUUAAUUAACGGUUACUUACAGUGGGGCAUCAAUGAAGUCCUGGGAAGGGUGAUUCUUGAAGGAAACCUUACGGACCAUGUAAUAAAUAUGAGAUGCCAUUGCACCAAUGACCAGGUCACCUGGCUCAUACCACUCGUGUGGAACAUGAACAGGAUGAUUUGUUGUGCAUUGAGCACUUUCUCCUUGGGACACUAUAUUGGGGAGCAGCAGAAGCAGCAGGAGGAACAUCCUGAUGGCUAAUUCCCUUGUGUGCAUGGACUCCCCUGCUUCUCUCGACAGUAUUAUUCCUCUCCUCCACCUGAUCUGAAUAAGACAAAUUGGGUGGCAGCUGACUCAGUCAAUUUGGUACUUUAAGGGAAACGUAUCCACCUUACUGUUAACUUGAACACUGUCACAACAGAAUGCCUUGGAUGCCAAACAAGAUGCAGUGGUUUGAUAUGAAAAGGGAAACUGAUAACUGAUAAGUAACAGAGCCCUGCCUAGUUGUCUAUGGAGCACAGAGGAGCUUAUAAUCAUUUCAGGCUUGCUUGUUGAUUCUUUUUUUCCACUCUGGCAUUUGGAGGUUCAGUCAGGUGGAUUGAUUAUUGUAAUUUGAGUAAUGAUAGGGGAGAGAAUCACUUGUGCAGUGUUUUUGGAUUCUAUGGCGCAUCAGCAGUAGGGGAGCUGGCAAAAUAUUACUACUAUUAUUUUUUAAAUAUAUAUUUUUAUUGAUUUUCCUAUAUUGUUUCAAAAGUGACCUCAUUAUAACAAUACCAAUUUUAGCGAAUUAAUGCAAUUAUGAAUGUCAAUUCUUCAAAUGUCAAAUUAUAUGAUAUAAUUAAAUGUUUCCCCUUGCGUGCUAUAUUUGAUGGCUUCAAUCUUAUUCAUUAUUUCUGUGUUCCACUAUGUUAAUAACUUCCAUUGCAUUUCAUGCACAUAUAGCAAUCUGUUAGAUAACAGCUACAGUCUUCUGAUUUCUAUUUUUGUUGCUAUAUUAGGUAAUUUAUAAAGUUUAAAGUGAGGAACUUUAAGUGUAGUCCUUAUUCUUUCCUGCGUGUGACAAUUUCCCCCCAUGAUGUUUUCCCAUCCAUAUAUGGCGCUGUAUCCUUCAUGCCUGCAACUGUUGAUGGUUCCCAUCAUGCCCUGGGAGAAGGGUUAUCCCACAGUUUCCAAAAGUCACUGCAUCGCUUUGUCCUGUGAUUCGGCUUCCAGAAAAAAAGCAGUGUUCACCAUUUUUUCCAGCCUAGGAGGCACAGUCUGAAUCCAGACUGCAGAUACUGAAUCCAAAAGGAUUUAUUACUGCAGCUAGUAGACAGGAAGCCGGAUCUGCCAAUGUAAUUAUAUUUGUAACAUCACAAAAUCAUAAGCAAGGAAUGAACCUACAAGGUCAGCAGGAUGUCUAGAGUUGAGCUGGCCCCAUCCUUUCCCCGCUUCCUAAUUUGUUAGUACUGUGGUAUCCAUCACUCUCCCACCUAUGUAACACUGAUCAGACAUAGUUUGCCAUCAUAUUAACUGAAUGGUGACAGCAAUUCUGAAUAGCAUCCUUGCCUUAUCUAUAGCAUCAAUAGACCAAUGGGAUAUCGGAUCCACACAAAGCAUGAUGGAGAACAGCAACAACUUGGAAAAGAUGGAUGCGACAAACUUGGCACCUCAGUUACCACUCAAGCCCAUGUGUCCGCUCUCUCUUAAAUAUAUUGCCCCCACCUCACCGAACAACCUUUGACCCGAAGGCUUAAAAACAAAACCUCACUAUACCAGGGGGAUCUUUGUGAGGGGGAUAACCAAGAAGUUGGAGUCUCGGGGGGCCGCUAGGGGCGCAUUGGAAGAUGGCCGGCAAUACCAUCUCUCCGGCUCACAUGAGGAAAUUAAGAGGCUGAUAUGGGAGUAUGCAGCCUCCCUUGUUACCCCAGGGAAUGCGGGGACACUGCCUUCGCCUGUGGUGCCGAUAAAUCACCCCCGGGUUUGAAAGAUGCAGGGGGUGAGGGCACUAGGCGCACAGCCCUUGUGUGGGUUCUCGGCUCUCCCGGACGUUGUCUCCGAUAGCGCACCUGGUUGCAGCAGCUCAAAAUAAACAAUUAGAGAGCAGCAAAUGCACAUGUUUCGAGUGAAGAAUGGGAGUUGAGACUGCUAUGUGAAGUGACCUCUGUGAAGUCGAGCGACUGGCUGGAUUCAACAGGAAAAUAUGACAAGAAGAAGACACAUCAAAGGGUCGGUAUGUCGGAACGGGACGGAAUGGGGGGAGGAAACUUUUCUUUUUUUAUCUUAUGUGAUUACCUAACAACGCCCCCCCAAGAAGAAUCGUUGCAACUACUGAUUAUAAGCGGGAUGAUUAAGAACUGUAUGGAAAUGAAUUACUAAUCAAAGACAUGGUUUGUGGAAUAUCUGGAAAGGAAUGAAAGGCCUUUGGAAUGACGCAGUUAUAAAAAGAGACUCGCUAGGAAGCAGGCCUGGUUGCAGGAUUUACGAUCGAGGGGGAGGAGACCAUGGCUUUGUUAUCAUAUUGGACUGUGAGUUUGACCUGGCAGAACUCCCUAAGAAGAUUGAGGAGAGAGUGACAGGCCUGCGAGGAUUAAUGGGCAGACUUUAAGAAUGUUUUGUACGGAGUGAUGAAAUGGCGUCUGUCUAUUUGAAUAUGGCUCUUGGAGGAAUGGAAAAUCUACACAGGACUAUAACAACGUUUGUUUUUAACCCGCUUGUGGAGACUAUCAGAGGUCACAAAGAAAGGAUUAUAUGAUAACAAGAAGAUGAGGAAAACAAUAAAGAGAAGAUUGGACAGAACUGUGAAUACUAUUUGGACAGAACUGUGAAUAUUAAAGCAGCAGCAAUAGAGAUGUUUGGAUCCCUUUCUGAGCUCGAAGCAUGGGUACCCCCAACAAAAAAUUCAAAAUCUGGCUCUGUAAUUUGGAAUUAAUGUGAUUUGAUUGGUUUGUUAAUAAAAAUUAUAUUAAAAAAAAGAAAAAGAAGUUGGAGUUUCGAGCAGGUGUUCUUUAAAUAAACAAUAAAGAUUUAUUUUUAGAACAAGGUAGUAUAAUACAAGUGGAGAAACUUAGGUUACUUCAAUAAGAAUACACUAGUUCACUUCAAUUCGCUUUAUAGUUUGUUUCCUUUCUAAGGUGGUACUUUCCUUCAUUUACCCACCCCUUUAACAAAUGCAGCUCCUGAGGUACUUUCAGUAAUAGUCUUAAGGGCUCACCCCCCUUCCUUCACUGGGAUUUGGAAGUCUCUUCUUUCCUCAGAAGAGUCUCUCCCCUCCAGAUUAGUUUGAGACCUAAGCAGACUCAUCUAUUUCAGCUCCUCCUUCUCCUGCCUCAUCCUCAGUCUCCCAGAAAGAUUUGGUCCUUUUACUCCUGCAGGACAAUACACUCAGUCCUUCACUGUACACUCAGAGUGGAUGUUUUAUUCCAGAACCAACUCUCCCUCCUCCACACUCCUAUCCUAUCUCCCUAACUCACAAUCUCUCCAGCCUCCCUCCUCAACCACCUCAACUCAACCCCCCUCUUAACCACACUCUAACUCCAUCUCCCUUGAAAUCUGCUCCCUUUAAACUCUCCCUCCUGGAACCACAGCCAAUCAGAGGCUGCUGUUCUUUAAGCAUUUGCUGGCAGGAGAAAAAAGUAAAAAGAAAUACUUGUGGAACCAACUUUUCCGUCACAAUAGGCACAACAUUUUACAAGGAUUGGAAGAGACACCACAGACAGAAUAACUGCCACACACUGGAAGAAUAAGGAUAUAGUUUGAGUGCCUCAUUUGUAGUUCUAUAAAUCAUUUAAUUUGUCAACACAAAUAGAAGUUAUUAAUAUUGCAGUUGUUGUAUAAGGGAUUAUUAUUUUCACCGGAAUAUAAUAGAAAUUAAUAAGAUUUUGGAAUGCAGAAAUAAAGGAAAUCAUCUAGCAAUGGGGGGGCACCUAAAUUAUCUGAUUCGGUAUUUAAGUGAUUAGUAUUAGUAUUACAAUUUGGUAUUGUUUUAAUGAGGCUAUGAUUGAAUGGUAAUUUAAAAUUAAUAAAAAUUAUUAUAACAGAAAUAGCAUAACUAGACUUUAGAAUCAACUUUAGAAACAACACAUCUGUAUUCUCUGAAGCCAUUUGGCUUACUUGAGAUAUUCUCUGCCACCACUCUUUCAAACAGGUUAGAAGUAUAAUUCAGAAAAAAAGGCUUGUCCUAUUAGUCUUAGUAAUAUCCAGUGUGUUUUCCUCCAGAUAUGGUUGCAUAUCUCUGCUACUUUUUUUCUUAAAACUAUUUUUUUUAAAAAAGAGAAAUGGCUGUUUUAAACUACUCCUUCUUCUGUUCCUCAGCUGCCUUGUAGGUGAGAGAUAAAGAAUGUAGAGCCCUUAACUAUUUCACAGUGUUUUUUGUUUCUGGUACCCUGUGUUGUCUUCAAGAUGAAUUUGCAGAUUACACGAAGUAAUUGAUAAGAGACUUUUUAUUAGCAAUCAUUCAUACAGUACAUGUACAACAUUGAACCACUGAAAUUAACCAUUUCUAAAUGAAAAGGCUGAGAGUUUUGCUAUUAGGAUUCCAUUUGCUUUAAAUAUACAGUAAUACAUGACAGGGGUGAUGGAGUGUUAGGGAGGGGUAGUAACUCUAGCAGGGAAGAAGUCGUGCUCCUUCUAUGGUAGUUUGCCUUCCUCUGAUCCCCACCCUGCACUCAGUUCUCACCUGUGGCUCCUAGAAGUUGUCAGCAUGCAACAGCAGCCACAUCCCAUGAAACAGAUUCAACUGGCUAGCUCCCUAAACCAGGUGAGGGCAGCCAAUGGGCCUCAAAUCCUUAGUGAGUUAGGGAAUUUCUCUGCAUGCAAAGACAGGAUAUAGCAGAUGAGAGCAAAAGUGGGCCCAGUGCUCACAAAGGUGGCUACUGAAGAUGCUGUAGAGGGAAAUGAGGGGCAGAUGGAUCUUGAAAACAUAGGAGGGAGCCCACCUAGGAGAAGGAAUCUUUGAACCUAAAUCUCCACUGCUUUACAGCAUUAUUCAUUUGUGAAAAAGGCUUAGGGAGUAGAACCUGAGGAAAAAUCUGUACCCAUUGCCUUUGGGACAUCUUUGGCAGACAAAACAGUUAAGGAGCUAACUCUACACAGAUCCAGAGCAGUGACCUGGAAAGUGAUACCCGCCACCAAGUCCAUCUAUUCUAAGACCCAACAGAGCCACAAAUUCCACUAUCAUUUAUACCUUUCUUUGUGUUAGCUGAUCUUUGUUGUUCAGGUCAGGCCUCACCACAAUAAUGUAGCAUUUAGGGGAAAAAAUGCAAACCAGUAACCCAGCACCAGAAGCAAAGAUGGAGAAGAUCUCCACAGCCACCAUGUAUUUUCCUCUGGUGCUCAGAUAGGUUGGAAUGAAGGAGAGCCAAACACUGCAGAAGACCAGCAUGCUGAAGGUGAUGAACUUGGCUUCGUUGAAAGUGUCAGGCAACUUCCUGGCUAGGAAGGCCACCGUGAAACUGAUAGUGGCCAGGAAUCCCAUGUAGCCCAAAACACAAUAGAACAUGGAGACUGACCCUUCAUUACAUAGAAAUAUGAUUUCUUCAGGCAUUGAGUGCAUGUCCACAUCUGGGAAUGGGGGAGAGGUUGCCAGCCAGAGGACACAGAUCCCUACUUGAACAAUGGAGCAGGAAAAGACAAUGGAAUAAGCCAGUUCUUUGCCUACCCAUUUCCUCAUAUUGGAUCCUGGUUUGGUAGCCAUGAAUGCCAAAACCACCAAUAUGGUUUUGGCUAAGAUGCUGGAGAGAGCCACAGAGAAGACAAUGCCAAAAGCAGUUUGUCGGAGAAGGCAAGUCACCAUAUUAGGUUUUCCGAGAAACAACAAAGAAGAGAGGAAACACAAGAGGAGGGAGAUAAGGAGACCAUAGGUGAGGCUUCGGUUGUUGGCUUUGACUAUGGCUGUAUUGCGAUGCUUAAUGAAGAUGCUGAGCACCAGAAUUGUGAUUAGAGAGAAUAAAAGUGCAGAGGAAGUUGAAACAAUGGCCAAGGUUUCAUCAAAGGCUAGGAAGUUUGGAAUCUUAGGAAUGCAUAGAUCCUGGCCGCUGUUUGGAUACUGAUCUGCUGGGCAACUGACACAUGUUUCCAUGUCUGAAAAUGCACAAACAGUGUGUGACAAUUUGAAGUAACCAAAAGUAUUCUUAAGAAUUUCACAUCACUAGUCCAUUUAGCAUAGUGUUUUCUACGUCAGAAUGUAUAAGAGCUUCAAGCCCAAAUGCUUUUGCACUAGGUGUAUCAAAAAUAAAACUUGUGUAUCAAUUCUGGAAUUUUCAACAUGUGUGUUAUCUGUUUUUACUGUCCCCCUGCUUUUUCUUAGAGCCACAUAAACAGUACAACAAAAUGAGAAAUGCAUUACUGCUGAAAUCUUUGGAUCUCAGAAAAUCGAGUUUAAUGAGACUUUCACCCCCUUGGCAAACAACCUAAUUCUUAGAGGAGAAAACACCACUUCUAUUCCACCCUAAUUUUGUAGAAGUUGGAGGUAAAAUAUAUUAGCUUCCACUUAAAAAAGAAAUCUUCAAGAUGUUUUAAAGAUUUAAAUAUAUUGGUGUUAUCUAUAAACAAUGAGAUGAACACAUCUGUUAAUGUAAGCCUUUUCUCCUGCAGCAGUUUAAUGUCAACAAAAUUGCAAGGAGCCCAGAGCUUCUACAUUAUCUAAAGAUGUCAUCUCUAACCUUUCUCAUUUGAAAUCAUUCCUUCUGGACAUGGAUCACAAUCAUAGCAGCAAAACUUCUCCCCCUCCUUCUUUUUCUUCCCGUAACCAGGAUGGCAGUUGGCAUUACAUACAGAAAGUGGUGGCACCUAUGCAAAGAGAUAGGAAGAGUUUAAUAUUAUGAUACUGUUUUGAGGAAUUUAUCAAAUUUCCAAUAUCAGGUGAUUUAAUAGUAAAUAGGAGGACUAAUAGCAUGAAAUGAUCUGUAGGUACACAAGUGGCACAUACAUUGUGGUAAAAAGCUGCUGUUCUAAGCAUCAUACAAACUUAAGAAGAUGUCAGUAUUCAUGCCUGGACCAUCCAACCUUACAGCUGUGUUAGAAUUUGGCUUGGCCUUUUCAUGGAGUCACCACUUAAUUGCAUUUGCUUCAAGGAAUUCACAUUGUGUUCCUUUGUGGUGGCACAAGGAAUUAAAGGUAAGCCAUUAUAGUGGUUCUGCUCCUACCUGCUGGUUCAUUACAAGCAACUAGGACUAGGAAAUCAUUCCAUGACUUUUGGGUUGUGGUUUCCUGUUCGGCCACAUCCUGUCUCAGAGAGAAAUGCUUUGGGUUCCUAUGCCUGACCUGUUCUGGGAGGAGUUGCAUUCCGUUUGAAACAAGAGGUCUGGGGGCACUCCUCGAUUCUAACUCAUCACUAGUCUGAAGUGGUUUGAGGUGCUAGUGAAUUUCAAAAUGAAUAAUGUAUGAAGUGCUUUUGUUACAUCCCAUUUUGUGGAUAACCACAAAUUCUGGGUUUUCAGGGACUGUGCCAUUAUUUCCAUACCUUAGUGAAGCGUCUGUUCCAUUUGAUUCUGUCUUCAUUAAUGGUGAGCUCUUUACUUGGAGGGGCCUGAGAAUCCAACCUGCCCACUUUGACUCUGACAUAGGAAUUAUUUGGGAAAGUGACCAAGUUGGUAAUAUCAAAGCCAGCUGCUAACUCUCCAUACUCAUUUAAUGUAAUUUCAUCCCCAGCACUGUUGUUGAAUGUGAUUCUCUGCAGGAAUGAGUGGAGCUAAGUGGAAAGAGAAUUGAAGUUAAACAAUUCAGUUCACAAUGGAGAACAUCCAUAUUUUAGUUGCACAUACAGAAGGAGUAGGGAAUCAUGAAUCAGUGCCAAUUCAACAGACUUGCAUAAAGAUAUUAUGGAGAGAUGAGACCAUAGACCUGCUUGCUUGAGACCAGCCUUUGUCUGUAUCCAAGAAAGGGAAGGAAUUUAAGAAGUCAUGUAAGAGAAGUGAUGGGAGCUCAUGUUCUCAAAGGAUAGGAAUGCAACAUGAGAACAUUGGACUGAACCUUUCCAUAGUUUAUAGAGUGGAUUUGACCAUGGUUGGAUGUUGGAUGCAGAGAAGUGAUAGGGAGCAGCAGCUGGAGAACCCCCAAGGGACACCCCAAGGAAAGGAGGCUCAGAGCCAGGGGAUUGGUGGUGGGAUGACAAGGAGUGGUCAGUGUGAGAAGAGGGAGCUGACUGGGAGGAAGAGGUGUCAGAUGCAGAAGGGGCAACAGGGUUAAGGGAGCAGGAAGAGGAUGUGCCAGACUGAAAUCCAGAAGAGGAGAAGGGAGAAAAGCAGGGUCUAGAGACAGUGAUCACACAAUUGCUAGUCUCUUCUGGGGACCUACCAGUGAGGCUUCAGCGCACAGAAAACCCUGGUGGUUGACAGACAGGGAAAGAUGAGGAGUUGGGGACGAGGUCUUCCAAGACGUGCCCAGGUAGGGGCUGCUCUUCUGUUUUCUCUUGGAUAUGAAGAUCCCUGCAAAAGCCAGUGCCUGGGGUUGGUGUCCUGGUUUGCUCCAUCAGAAUUAUGCACCCGGGGCCAUGGGCCCCAGGCCCCCAACAUUACACCACUGGGUAACUGGACAGGUAGGAGAGACAGAGAGAACUGGGGAGGGAUAUUUGGAGAAAACGGAGGGAUUUGCAGUGUGAAGGAGUUAGUUGUUGGUAGUCUGUUGCUUCUGAAAGUCUGUGUCAUUUAAAGUCUGUUUAGUAUCGUUAUAGGAAAUAUUCUAAUUCCCAUCUUUCAAACAAUAAAUUUACUUAAGGUUUAUUUUUAAUUUCCUAAGUUUUAUUCUUAUAUUUCUUUACUGAUGAUUAAAUGCUAUCUCACAUAAUGUAUCAAUGAAGUGAAUGCUUUGUAACAGAGAACAUUACCUGCCAAGGUUCUACAUAUUGAGGAGAGAGUCUUCCCCCAGCAUCUCUCCUUUCGCGGUUGACUGCAGCCAAGUGUAUUCUAUUUAAGGCAUGUGCCAAAGCAUAGACAGCAUUAUAGAUACUGUAGCUGUGGCCAGUCAUGCUCAUUUCAAAAAAUGGUGCAGGAAGGCUCUCCAGCAUCUCCUCUCCAGUACACAUGUGAUCGUUGGAUGUUGAGAGAGUGGCAUUUGGAAGUGAACAACUGAAUGCAUCUUCCCAGAAAUCUUGGAUAAAACCAUCUGUCUCUGUCCAAUGAGGAUAUACACUCCGAAGAAAGUCUUGAAAGUUGUGAAUCUCCUUGGAGUGAAUUGCAAAGGAUAUAGCACCAUGGAGCAUUCGUAUAUUAACAUUAAUUUUUUUUUGAAGGCUAUAUAAUAUGAAAUCAAUUUGAGUAGUUGUAAUCCAUACUUUUCCUUCAUGUGACUUCUUUUGAGGAAAUAGUAGCUGAGUUAACUCCAUUGUAAUUAAAGCACUUGACAACCAUAUGCUAAAACUACUUUCUCCAUGUAGAAGAAUUGCAUUAGCUUUGCUGGUUGUGAAACUUGGUGACAAAAGCUUUAUGUCCACCAUUUCUAGUAAGUUACUGUUAUAAUGUAUAUUGAGUUUAACUCUUUCUGUGAAUGCUGAACAGACUCCAUUCUUGAAAAGCAUUGGCUCAAUUGUCUGUAAGAAACGUUCCCCAGCUUCAUUAGCUUGAGUGAUGAGCCCAACCCAUUUCCAUCUGAAAUGCAGAAGUAACUGGAUAAUUCCCUGAUACUGAAGGUCUUCAUUGGGGACCAUGCGGUAAAAGGAAGGGAACUUGGUUCCAUAAUUUAUGGCUGGUUCAAAUGAACCAUAUGAAAUCUGGAAAAAGCAAAAGUCAAACGUUUCCAAGUGGAAACAAGAACUCAUGAUAUUCCUAUUUAUUCAAAUAUAAACACGUGCACACACACACACACUAAAAUAUUGAAUAUAUAUUGAAUCUAUAUCCCAAGUUUACCAAGUUUAGGGACAGCACCAACCCCAGCUUAUAUAGGAAAACACAGAUAACCUUGCUCAAUGUUUUCUGUUGAUAUUUAUUAUUAUUAUGGCAUCAUCACAGCUUCAUUCUUGUACAUAUUAAUUGUGUCCAAGAAUAGGUGAGCAUUUGGGGGAGGAGCUGCUGGCGAGCUGCGAUGGAGGAUUGCUGAAUUCCAUCACUGCCGUACGUUCCGGAAUCAGAGGCUGAGAAGGGAGUAAUCAGCCUCCCUACAUUCCCCAGGCUGGGGAGUGGCAGCUCAUCCACAGAUUGCCCAACACCUGGCCCCAGAUUCAGAAGGAAGGGGGGCGCUGGGGGUGGCUGGAUGGAAAGCCUGGAUCAUUUCUUGGUAACUCUCCUAAGUCGCCUCCAUUUAGCAGCAAGUUUCCAGUUCUUAAGAUGAAAAAUUGGAUUUAAGUUUUGAACAUGAUCUGAGUGAAGGGGAAGAAACUACUCUGAUAAUUAAUUCAUCCACUGAGGUGUUAAAAAGGAUUUGAACGGAAAAAGGAUAAACAUCUAUGUUGACUUGGUAUGUUGGAACUGAAAGUGUGUGUGUGUGGGGGGGUGAGCCUCCUUUGUUAUAAUAUUUUGUUUUGCUAUGCUAUAUGGCAAAAUCCUCCUCUGAAAGAAUCAACUGCCUGAUUAUUUAUAGCAAGCGAGACUGGGGAGGUGGUGUAUUUGGUGAUAUAAUAUGAGUCUAAUAAUCAUUAGGGGACCUGGGGGGCACUCUGGGUUAAAACACAGAGCCUAGGACUUGCCGAUCAGAAGGUCGGCGGUUCGAAUCCCCACGACGGGGUGAGCUCCCGUUCCUCGGUCCCAGUUCCUGCCAACCUAGCAGUUUGAAAGCACGUCAAAAGUGCAAGUAGAUAAAUAGGUACCACUCCGGUGGGAAGGUAAACCUUGUUUCUGUGCUCUGCUCUGGUUCGCCAGAAGUGGCUUAGUCACUCCCUCAGACAAUAAAGCGAGAUGAGCACCGCAACCCCAGAGUCGGGGGUCCCUUUACCUUUACCUUAAUAGUCAUUAAUUUUGUGGAAAUAACAAUUAUUCAAAAGUGGAAAACCAAGUUCAAAGUAUUCGGCUGCAGAUAUAUUUGGAAGAGGAUAAAGACUUUCCCAACUUUGAUUUGGAGAAUGACUGGAGAGACACCAAAAAAACUUAGGAAAUUUGCAUAGAAUUGGAAUCGGAAUGAUGCAGCUCCAAUGAAACGAGCGGCCAUGACCGGAGGUAGAUCAGCUUGUCAAAUUAAAUGCAGAGCCUUAGGGGGAUAGGUGCCUUUUAAUAUCUUACUUAAUAUUUGCAUUCCCACUUUUAUAUGGCAAAACCUUCCCUGGACAGGUUAACCAUUUGAAGGACAGCUGGUCUUAAAGCAUUGGGCAGAUACCUUGCUUUGAUUUUAUCUGGACUGACUUGGCGGAAACAUCAUUUUGUGAAGAGACACCGUGAACAUACAGAGGGAACUCGGGAUGUAAAUUCCACAAAGAAUAUAUUGUUUUGUUUUAUCUCGCUUGUUCAGAGUCUGUGAAAUGUAAUGAGGAUUAACAUCGAAAUGAUUUAUGGGAACUAUCGUGAAAAUUAUGAAAGCAGCAGAAGUAUGAGAUGAUCAGAACCACCCCCGACCUCAGAACAUGGGAAGAUACCUUCAAUUUUUUUAUAUAUAAUUUGGCAUAAUAUUUGGACUGUUUGAUUGUUGAAUAAUAUGUAUAAAUUGGAAUAUUUAAUAUCAUUGGAUAGGAUUGUUAAAGUGGAA